rnacentral:tRNA from 1 species
CCCUGGGUGAUGCAAACAGUAAGCAUACUGGGCUGCUAACCCAAAAGUUGGUGGCUUGAGUUCACCCAGAGGCA